GCCGGGGGACGCCGCCACCGCCGAGCCCCUCGGCGCCCCCCGCCCCGCCGCGGUCCCACCCCCCAUACCUGUGAGUCGGCGGGAGGAAGCGGCUCUGCUCCGCUCGCCCGAGCCCGGCGCCGCGCAGGAAGCGCCUCCAAUUUGCUUACUGUCCCAAAGUAAUCAAGUCAGGAAUCAGAAGAUUUGGCUUCUCUGAGAACUGUGUCUGCCUCAAGUCCCACAGAAAGCAUUUUUGCAGUAUCACUGCACGUUAUGCAUGGAGCAGUCCCUGAAGAAAUCUGGAAGGCAUUGUCGUUGAUAUGCCUCUCACAGCUUGCUGAUGACACCAGCAGGAAAACCAGCACUGAAUGUGAUCUAGGCUACAAGGCAGAUGGAAAGGCAGUGCUCCCUUACAUACACAAGACAUAUAUGAAUAUAUAUAUAUAUAUAUAUAUAUAUAUAUGCACAUAUAUAGUUCUGCAAAUAGUCUGUGGAUAUACAUAUAUUAAAAAUGCUGGGUACUUAAAUCAGUAUA